CGCCUGGCCGUGGCCGGCAUGAGCAUGAAGGACGAGUUCGCGGACGCUGCCGGGGCCAGCAAGCUCUACUCGGCGUCUGCCGAGGGCUGCGGCGGCAGCGGCAAGCUCUCCCUCUUCGGCGAGGACGAUGACGACGCGGGCCUCUUCCUCCGGCCCUCGCUGCAGCUGCCAACCGCGCACGACGGCGGCUUCACGGCGUCGGGGCCGGCCGAGUACCAGCAGCAGUCGCCGUCGUCGUUCCCGUUCCACUCGAGCUGGCCGUCGUCCGCGACGGAGCAGACCUGCAGCAGCUCCCAAUGGUGGGAAUUCGAGUCCCCGAGCGAGUAAGUAGAGCCAUCGG
rnacentral:lncRNA from 1 species